GCCUGUACAGGACUUUGCCUUACUGUCUAUCUUCCCUCCCUUUACCUUAAACUAUCCACUUACUUUCUUUCUCCUUCCUAGCAAGUCACUGUGGUCCCCAAGAGUUCUCUGUGUUCAUGGAUGUCUUCAUGUUAUUAUCAUUUUGACAAUACAAACAUCGACUUUUCAUGGCAAUGAGACUCAUCUGCUCCUGUCAGCACCAAUCUACUUCAAGCGGAUGAUGGGCACCUUUUGGUAUAGCUUGUUUUCUAUCUACAAUAGAAUUGAUAAAUAGAGAACUGGAAGGUCAUGUUGACUCAACUACAGAGGAAGAAGGGGGAGAAACUGAGCAAGAACCCGAACCUUCGUCCAGCGAUGGAUGGAGAUAGAGACAGAGACCCACAUCGGAGCACUGG